UUGAAACAAUCAUCACCUUAGUGAUUUCUGUUCUUUCUCUGCCUAAACAAACCCAUCUUUUUCUUCUCCGUGAAAAGACUUUGCGAUGCGCGUUUCCAGGGAUAGAGAGCAGUUUAUCAAAGGAUUUGGCCGUGGCUCUAAAUGACUCUGAAUCCCCACAGUGGUGGAUUUUUUAAGCGAGAAGGGAUCACUUUCGGGCACUAAGUGUUGUUUCCACUGAAUUUCUGCUUUCUCAAGUGUAGGUGAUCUGACAAGGCGAAGCUUCAUGGAGAGCUUGAUGAAGAAGACAGGGGCUAAGAGUCCUUUGGUACUUUCUUAUACCUUUGGUGAUACUGGAAGAAGACAGAUGGAGUUGGUUCAGAAGCAAGGGAAGAGAGAUAGAUGAGAAGCUUGAUGGUGGUGGAAGAGCAGAGAUGUCAAGGAUGAUUGUGAAGGGUUAUUAGUGGUAGAUUGAUAGUAUGUUUGAUUGGUUUUGAUUGUUUGU